rnacentral:rRNA from 1 species
UUUUUAGUAGUGUAAAUAGCUGUUAGAAUAAGAGCUGGGUAAGACCGGUGCCAGCCGCCGCGGUAACACCGCCAGCUCGAGUGGUGACCGCUUUUAUUGGGCNUAAAGCGUUCGUAGCCGGUUCAGUAAGUCUUUGGGUAAUCUUCUCGCUUAACGAAAAGAAUUCCGAAGAUACUGCUGGGCUUGGGGCCGAGAGAGGUUAGAGGUACUCCUGGGGUAGGGGUGAAAUCCUAUAAUCCUGGGGGGACCGCCAGUGGCGAAGGCGUCUAACCAGAGCGGACCCGACGGUGAGGGACGAAAGCCAGGGGCGCGAACGGGAUUAGAUACCCCGGUAGUCCUGGCUGUAAACGCUGCAUGCUAGGUGUUGCAUGCUCUACGGGGGCAUGCAGUGCCGAAGAGAAGUUGAUAAGCGUGCCGCCUGGGAAGUAUUAUCGCAAGGUAGAAACUUAAAGGAAUUGGCGGGGGAGCACUACAAGGGGUGGAGUCUGCGGUUUAAUUGGAUUCAACGCCGGAGAUCUCACCGGAGGCGACGGCAGGAUGAUGGCCAGGUUGAAGAUCUUGCUUGACGAGCCGAGAGGAGGUGCAUGGCCGUCGUCAGCUCGUACCGUGAGGCGUCCUGUUAAGUCAGGCAACGAGCGAGACCCGUGCCCUUAUUUGUCAGCAGAUGCCUUUUGGCAUGCUGGACACAUUAGGGGGACCGCUGCUGAUAAAGCAGAGGAAGGAGCGGGCGACGGUAGGUCAGUAUGCCCCGAAUCUUCCGGGCUACACGCGGACUACAAUGGCCAGUACAAAGGGCUUCGACUUCGAAAGGAGAAGGAAAUCCCAAAAACUGGCCCUAGUUCAGAUCGUGGGCUGCAACUUGCCCACGUGAAGCCGGAAUCCCUAGUAAUCGCGUGUCAUUAUCGCGCGGUGAAUAUGUCCCUGCUCCUUGCACACACCGCCCGUCAAACCACCCGAGUGAGGUCGAGGCGAGGCUAUGUCGUUUGGUAUGUCGAGUCUGAUC